GUAGGAGAAUCGAGCGUGGCGUCGUGCUGACGGAUCGGAGGUGCGCGGUUUCUAGUCGAAAUAUUGCUAUAUUUUCGUUAUUACUGAGUUAGCUGACUAAAAAAGUGACUCAAGCUACUUGAAAAUCAGAGGGCAUGAAGAUGAAGAGAGACAUCAGCCAAUGGUGCGGAGCGAUAAACUGCAAAGCGUCAAAGGCUCAGCAUCCUGAACUGAGCUUCUUCAGGUUUCCUCCACAACCAGAAAGAUCAAAGAAGUGGGUGCAAAUGUGCAGGCGUCAGGACCUCAUCGGGAAGUCUCCAGAAUACCUGUCUGAGAAUGUGAAGCUGUGUUCAAGGCACUUCGAGGUGUCACAGUUCUAUCCAAACAACCCGAGAC